rnacentral:sRNA from 1 species
UGUUCUGCCGCGCUUUAGCAAUAUAUCGU